GUAAAGGGAAGCCCUACAAUCCCCAACAGCCCUAACUCACAGGAUCCCGGAAUUCAGUGCUCAAGCAGCUACUCAGCCCCCACUGCGGGUGCAGGCAAUUCCACCAGGCACACGAGGAAAUGGGAGGGCUGUGACACAGAAGCUAAAAGCCUCAAUUACCCUUCGUGACAGGAACAGAGGACAUAUUUAUGAAGAGAGAAAUUUUUGCCUCGUAAAUCACACUUGUGAGGAAUCAGCCGAGCUGGUGACCAUGGUGACAGCCAGAGGCAGCCUCCGAGCGGGGAUCACCCAGCCUCACACCUGCUCAUUAAACCGGACAGCGUCCUGAGAGAGCACCUCGGAGUCAGCCAGGGCCAGGAGCGGGCCAGGACGGGCAGCACGCAGGGCUGGAGCUCAGGUGCAUCCCUGGUUCCCAACCUUGGGGGCUCAUGGGUAUCAACUCUGGAAGCGGGAGGUUUGGAGGGGCUUUCGACGACCCUGUCACCUGGGUCCCACCGCAGAGAUUGAUGAUGUAAUUGUCCCAGUGGCGCCUGGGAAUUGGGAGCUUUAAACGCCACCCAAGUGAUUCUGACAUGCAGCCAAGGUUGAGGGCUCACUAGGCCUCACCCUGCCUGCCAAUCGAUGAAUCAAACAGCAAGCUUUCAGCAAGUGCACCCUGGUAGGGGGACCCGGAAAUAGGGCAGAGUUUCUGCCCAGGCUCAUGCUCCACGUUGCUGACUCCCAUUCCCCACGGUGACAAAGACCCUGAAGGCGGCCUGCGGCCAGGACAUGGUACCGGGGGAGCAGCAGCUGCUCCUGCUCUGGGCCCAGAGGCUGAAUCUGUUUGGGGUUCCCACCGAUGCACGCCAAUGCUGCCCCUCCAGGCGGUGGUCAUACAUGCAUGCGUCCUCUUGGUCCUGCUUUCUUGUUCCCCUGCCCUUCGCAGAACAUCCCCGGCUGCCAGAGGAGCGCCUUUCAUUUCAUUUACAAGCCUUUGCUGACCGCCUCCGGCGUGCAGCGGGCACCAGGACUGCGCUGGGCAGGGGGCUCACACGAAGCCGGGACUCGAGUCAACCAAGCUCCCUCCAGCACAGAGCGACCCUUACCUCCUCACAAGGGGAACCCAUCCGCGUGGUGAGCUGCCUCGGGAGGGUGCGAGCAGAGACUCAGAGGGGCCUCUAGCGACUUGUGUUCUUCCCCUGGCAUUGCAGGCGGACUCCAUAGCUUUCUAAUAAAUAGUCCCAUACUUUAUAAAGAAAAGUCUAGCUCAGUUGAUUAGCAAAACCUCAAACUCUCACCCAAUUUAAAGGUCGACCCUCCCUGCUCCAGCCAGAUCAGCCCUGGGGUGGCUCGAGGUCAGGUGCGCGGGUGUCCAGCCGACUCUGGGGAAGAUUCCAUGCUCUCAGCCUCCGCACGCUGGGGGUCCUGGCCUUGACAAUGUCUUCUCCUAAAGUGACACAGCAUGAUCCCUGUCCAACAUCUGGUUCCUUACACAAUAUUCAGACCUCCAUCGGUUGUUGAUGUUUGUUUUCUAAUAAAAGCAUUUAAGGAUAUGAAUUUU